rnacentral:rRNA from 1 species
UACGGAGGGUGCGAACGUUAAUCGGAAUCACUGGGCGUAAAGCGCGCGUAGGCGGUUCGUUAAGUGGGAUGUGAAAUCCCCGGGCUUAACCUGGGAAUUGCAUUUCAAACUGGCCGACUAGAGUACGGUAGAGGGAGGUAGAAUUUCCUGUGUAGCGGUGAAAUGCGUAGAUAUAGGAAGGAAUACCAGUGGCGAAGGCGGCCUCCUGGAUCGAUACUGACGCUGAGGCGCGAAAGCGUGGGGAGCAAGCAGG